GGCUUCAUAUGUACCACCUUGUCAAAGCCUGAGCUUGUCUGAUCUCAGUAUCUAAGCAGAGUUAGGCUUGGUUAGUACUUUGAUGGAAGAUAGCGGGGAAUGCCAGGUGCCA
rnacentral:rRNA from 1 species